rnacentral:lncRNA from 1 species
AUGCUGUACCGGGUGUGCCAGGUGUAUCUCAGGUGUGUCUCAGGUGUAUCUCAGGUGUGCCAGGUGUGUCUCAGGUGUAUCUCAGGUGUCUCAGGUGUAUCUCAGGUGUAUCUCAGGUGUAUCUCAGGUGUGUCUCAGGUGUAUCUCAGGUGUAUCUCAGGUGUGUCUCAGGUGUAUCUCAGGUGUAUCUCAGGUGUAUCUCAGGUGUAUCUCAGGUGUGUCUCAGGUAUCUCAGGUGUCUCAGGUGUAUCUCAGGUGUGUCUCAGGUGUGUCUCAGGUGUGUUUUUGGGCUCCCAGCGGGGUGAUGCUGUACCAGGUGUAUCUCAGGUGUAUCUCAGGUGUAUCUCAGGUGUAUCUCAGGUGUGCCAGGUGUAUCUCAGGUGUAUCUCAGGUGUGUUUUUGGGCUCCCAGCGGGGUGAUGCUGUGCCAGGUGUAUCUCAGGUGUAUCUCAGGUGUGUCUCAGGUGUAUCUCAGGUAUCUCAGGUGUAUCUCAGGUGUCUCAGGUGUGUCUCAGGUGUAUCUCAGGUGUGUCUCAGGUGUAUCUCAGGUAUCUCAGGUGUCUCAGGUGUAUCUCAGGUGUGUCUCAGGUGUCUCAGGUGUGUCUCAGGUGUGUUUUUGGGCUCCCAGCGGGGUGAUGCUGUACCUGGUGUGGUUCAGGUGUAUCUCAGGUGUGUCUCAGGUGUAUCUCAGGUGUAUCUCAGGUGUAUCUCAGGUGUGUCUCAGGUGUAUCUCAGGUGUAUCUCAGGUGUGGUUCAGGUGUGUUUUUGGGCUCCCAGCGGGGUGAUGCUGUACCAGGUGUAUCUCAGGUGUAUCUCAGGUGUGCCAGGUGUAUCUCAGGUGUAUCUCAGGUGUAUCUCAGGUGUCUCAGGUGUAUCUCAGGUGUAUCUCAGGUGUGUCUCAGGUGUGUCUCAGGUGUAUCUCAGGUGUAUCUCAGGUGUAUCUCAGGUGUAUCUCAGGUGUGUCUCAGGUAUCUCAGGUGUCUCAGGUGUAUCUCAGGUGUGUCUCAGGUGUGUCUCAGGUGUGUUUUUGGGCUCCCAGCGGGGUGAUGCUGUGCCAGGUGUGUCUCAGGUGUGCCAGGUGUAUCUCAGGUGUGUCUCAGGUGUAUCUCAGGUGUGUCUCAGGUGUAUCUCAGGUGUAUCUCAGGUGUGUCUCAGGUGUAUCUCAGGUGUGUCUCAGGUGUGUCUCAGGUGUGCCAGGUGUGUCUCAGGUGUAUCUCAGGUGUAUCUCAGGUGUAUCUCAGGUGUGCCAGGUGUGUCUCAGGUGUGUCUCAGGUGUGUCUCAGGUGUGUUUUUGGGCUCCCAGCGGGGUGAUGCUGUGCCAGGUGUAUCUCAGGUGUGUCUCAGGUGUGUCUCAGGUGUGUCUCAGGUGUCUCAGGUGUAUCUCAGGUGUGCCAGGUGUGGUUCAGGUGUAUCUCAGGUGUGUCUCAGGUGUGUUUUUGGGCUCCCAGCGGGGUGA